rnacentral:rRNA from 1 species
GAUGAACGCUGGCGGCGUGCCUAAUACAUGCAAGUCGAGCGAACGGACGAGAAGCUUGCUUCUCUGAUGUUAGCGGCGGACGGGUGAGUAACACGUGGAUAACCUACCUAUAAGACUGGGAUAACUUCGGGAAACCGGAGCUAAUACCGGAUAAUAUUUUGAACCGCAUGGUUCAAAAGUGAAAGACGGUCUUGCUGUCACUUAUAGAUGGAUCCGCGCUGCAUUAGCUGGUUGGUAAGGUAACGGCUUACCAAGGCAACGAUGCAUAGCCGACCUGAGAGGGUGAUCGGCCACACUGGAACUGAGACACGGUCCAGACUCCUACGGGAGGCAGCAGUAGGGAAUCUUCCGCAAUGGGCGAAAGCCUGACGGAGCAACGCCGCGUGAGUGAUGAAGGUCUUCGGAUCGUAAAACUCUGUUAUUAGGGAAGAACAUAUGUGUAAGUAACUGUGCACAUCUUGACGGUACCUAAUCAGAAAGCCACGGCUAACUACGUG